UCCCUCUGUGGAGCGGGGUGCCUGUCCCUGCCACUGGGUGACCCGCCCCUCUCCACCAG
rnacentral:miRNA from 1 species